GACGAACGCUGGCGGCGUGCCUAAUACAUGCAAGUCGAGCGAAGCGGGGACGGGUGAGUAACACGUAGAUAACCUCCUAUAAGACGGGGAUAACAUCCGGAAACGGGUGCUAAACCGGAUACUUAUCGAUGGCCUCUCGGUGCAUUAGCUCGUUGGUUGGUUAACGGCUUACCAAGGCAACGAUGCAUAGCCGACCUGAGAGGGUGAUCGGCCACACUGGAACGGAGACACGGUCCAGACUCCGACGGGAGGCAGCAGUAGGGAAUCUUCCGCAAUGGGCGAAAGCCUGACGGAGCAACGCCGCGUGAGUGAUGAAGGUCUUCGGAUCGUAAAGCUCUGUUGUUAGGGAAGCGGUACCUAAUCAGAAAGCCACGGCUAACUACGUGCCAGCCGCCGCGGUAAUAC
rnacentral:rRNA from 1 species